rnacentral:rRNA from 1 species
UGGGUUGGUAAAUCUCGUGCCAGCCACCGCGGUUAUACGAGGGGCUCACAUUGACAUUCUCCGGCGUAAAGGGUGAUUAAAGAAAAUUCCACUAAAGCCACAAAACCCCCGAGCUGUCAUACGCUGACGGAGACAUGAGGCCCCACAACGAAAGUAGCUUUAAGAAUUCUUGAACUCACGACAGUCAGGAAACAAACUGGGAUUAGAUACCCCACUAUGCCCGACCGUAAACAAUGAUGAUAAAAUACACACAUCUCCGCCAGGGUACUACGAGCAUCAGCUUAAAACCCAAAGGACUUGGCGGUGCCUCAAACCCACCUAGAGGAGCCUGUUCUAUAACCGAUGAUCCCCGUUAAACCUCACCACUUCUUGUCAUCCCUGCCUAUAUACCGCCGUCGCCAGCUUACCUAUGAGAGAUCUAGCAGUAAGCUAAAUGGAAUUUUCCCCAAAACGUCAGGUCGAGGUGUAGCGAAUGAAGUGGAAUGAAAUGGGCUACAUUUUCUGAACCAGAAUACAACGAAAAGUGCUAUGAAAAAUCACAAUUGAAGGUGGAUUUAGUAGUAAAAAGAAAAUAGAGAGUUCUUUUGAAGCCGGCUCUGAGACGCGUACACACCGCCCGUCACCCUCCUA